rnacentral:rRNA from 1 species
UACGUAGGGGGCAAGCGUUGUCCGGAAUCAUUGGGCGUAAAGAGCGCGUAGGCGGUCCGGUAAGUCCGCUCUGAAAGUCCGGGGCUCAACCCCGGGAGGCGGGCGGAUACUGUCGGGCUAGAGUCCGGAAGAGGCGAGUGGAAUUCCUGGUGUAGCGGUGAAAUGCGCAGAUAUCAGGAGAAACACCCAUAGCGAAGGCAGCCUGCUGGGACGUUACUGACGCUAAGGCGCGAAAGCGUGGGGAGCGAACAGG